rnacentral:rRNA from 1 species
UACGUAGGCAGCGAGCGUUGUUCGGAGUUACUGGGCGUAAAGGGUGUGUAGGCGGUUGUUUAAGUUUGGUGUGAAAUCUCCCGGCUCAACUGGGAGGGCGCGCCGAAUACUGAAUGACUAGAGUGCGGGAGAGGAAAGUGGAAUUCCUGGUGUAGCGGUGAAAUGCGUAGAUAUCAGGAGGAACACCGGUGGUGUAGACGGCUUUCUGGACCGUAACUGACGCUGAGACACGAAAGCGUGGGUAGCAAACAGG